GUUGAGUCCAAUUAAACCGCAGACUUCACCCCUUGUGGUGCUCCCCCGCCAAUUCCUUUAAGUUUCAUACUUGCGUACGUACUUCCCAGGCGGCAAACUUAACGGCUUCCCUGCAGCACUGCAUUGACCACAAGUCAAUGCAUCACUGAGUUUGCAUAGUUUACAGCUGGGACUACCCGGGUAUCUAAUCC
rnacentral:rRNA from 1 species